CCGGCAAGAAAGACGUAGCAGACAAGAUUGAAGUUACCUGUGUUGACUAGAUUUGUUUUACAUAAUUUUAUCACACGACGCAGCUUAUGUUUUGAAUUUAUGUAGCCCUAAGAUGUCUCUAAAAGCAGGUUUUCGAAUGUUACGACAUAUACAGCUGUCAAAAAGCAGUAUACGAGCAAUGAGACCAUUAAUUUUGAUGCCCUCUCAGCAGAUGAGAUUUAGUUCACAGGUACCAGAGAAACAAACAUCUACAGAUGUUCUCCAUCUUAGCAAAAACUGCAUCAAAAGGCUCCAGGAAAUUUCCGGUGGUAGCAAAUUUUUACGUAUACAAGUAGAAGGUGGAGGUUGUUCAGGUUUUCAGUAUAAAUUUGAUCUGGAUGAUACGUUAAAUGAUGAUGACAG